rnacentral:rRNA from 1 species
CCGCAUGGACAGUUGUAAGGCCCGAGGGCGCCUUGAUGAGUGCGUCCCUAGGUAGUGUGAGGUAGGCCCACCGCCUUCGAGGUAGCUGCUGAGAGGGAUCAGCCACUGGAACAGACACGGCAGACUCCCGGGAGGCCAGUGAGGUAUUGCGCUGGCCGAAGCUGACGCCGACGCCGUGAAGGAUAGUCCGUUGAUGUAAAUCUUUUGCGGGAUGAAUGGUGCCUGGGUGCCAGACCGUACUGCGAAUAGAUCGGCUCUACGUGCGCAGCCGCUAAUACGUGAUCCGAGUUGUCCGGUUACUGGGUAAAGGGCGUAGGUGGCUUUAAGUGUGGUGAACCUGCAGCAACUGCAGCUGCCCUCUACUGAAAUCGAGUAC